rnacentral:rRNA from 1 species
GAAGGGUGCAAGCGUUACUCGGAAUCACUGGGCGUAAAGCGUGCGUAGGCGGUUGGUUAAGUCUGCUGUGAAAGCCCUGGGCUCAACCUGGGAACUGCAGUGGAUACUGGCUGGCUAGAGUGUGAUAGAGGAUGGUGGAAUUCCCGGUGUAGCGGUGAAAUGCGUAGAGAUCGGGAGGAACACCAGUGGCGAAGGCGGCCAUCUGGAUCAACACUGACGCUGAGGCACGAAAGCGUGGGGAGCAAACAGGAUUAGAUACCCUGGUAGUCCACGCCCUAAACGAUGCGAACUGGACGUUGGUUGCAACUUGGCAAUCAGUGUCGAAGCUAACGCGUUAAGUUCGCCGCCUGGGGAGUACGGUCGCAAGACUGAA